rfam:Solanum tuberosum cultivar DM 1-3 516 R44 scf00155_17, whole genome shotgun sequence.
GUGCUGUGAUGAAAAAAAUCUUGUGUCGGAGGCUUUUUGUCGCUGAUGGUUUACACAACCCUCUAAGAAGUUCUGAGCAC